rnacentral:rRNA from 1 species
UACGAAGGGGGCUAGCGUUGUUCGGAUUUACUGGGCGUAAAGCGCACGUAGGCGGAUCGUUGUGUCGGCGGUGAAAGCCCCGGGCUCAACCUGGGAAUGGCCGUUGAAACUGGCGAACUGGAGUGUGGCAGAGGGGGGUGGAAUUCCGCGUGUAGCAGUGAAAUGCGUAGAGAUGCGGAGGAACACCGAUGGCGAAGGCAGCCCCCUGGGCUGACACUGACGCUCAGGCACGAAAGCGUGGGGAGCAAACAGG